rnacentral:rRNA from 1 species
UCGGGAAUUUUGGGCAAUGGGCGCAAGCCUGACCCAGCAACGCCGCGUGAAGGAUGAAGUAUUUCGGUAUGUAAACUUCGAAAGAAUGGGAAGAAUAAAUGACGGUACCAUUUAUAAGGUCCGGCUAACUACGUGCCAGCAGCCGCGGUAAUACGUAGGGACCAAGCGUUGUUCGGAUUUACUGGGCGUAAAGGGCGCGUAGGCGGCAGUUCAAGUCAGUUGUGAAAUCUCCGAGCUUAACUCGGAACGGUCAACUGAUACUGUUUUGCUAGAGUGCAGAAGGGGCAAUCGGAAUUCUUGGUGUAGCGGUGAAAUGCGUAGAUAUCAAGAGGAACACCUGAGGUGAAGACGGGUUGCUGGGCUGACACUGACGCUGAGGCGCGAAAGCUAGGGUGGCAAAC